rnacentral:lncRNA from 1 species
CCCGGGUAGCUAGCAGGUAGAAAUCUUCCCCCAAAUUCUAUAUUUGAUAAGCAAUAGGCCUCCAUACAUCUAGUGAUCUGUCUUGCUAGUUAUAAAUAAAGACUGAUGAUCUGAUCUUAUGCAAAUUGCAACAUAGGUAAUCUUGGGCAAGGAAAAUCAGACUUAGAGAAGAAUCGAUUUGGCCUUUAGAGGAAAAGAGAUGAUAUAAGUGAAGUUGAGGAAGACCAUGCAUUGCCCUUAAGGUGAACCAGGGCAUCAGCGCCGCUUCCAGUAUAGUUGGUUUGGUGAUUUUUCAUCAUGGCUAGAGUAUUUAGAGGACAAAAAUUGUGUGUAUUGUCUAUAUUGUUUUGUCUCCAGUAACAAAAGAAUACGUGAGGUGGUUCACAUGUCUUCACGGUAUAUGGAUUUGAUAGUUGGAAGAGGGUUCAUCGAAAACAUUGUGCAUUCUUG